GGGGCUGUAGCUCAGCGGACAGAGCAGGGCCGUCCUAAGGCCUUGGCCGUGGGUUCGAUUCCCACCAGCCCCU
rnacentral:tRNA from 1 species